GUUAAUAUAUUAUAUAAAAAAUAAAGUAUUGUAGAGAUGUAGUUAUACAAAUAAAAUAUAAUUUUAGCCAUCACACAAUAUAUAAAUUUUUGUUGAUCCCAACAAAGAGUGGAGAUCAAAUCAAAUUUCAUAGGAGAGGGAAAGAGAAAGGAGAACAGGAAAGAGAAAUAAAUAGGAGAGGGAAAUAAGUUUAUUUGUUUUGCCGACACUUCAUCGGAACAGAUUUUUUAGGGUUUUAACAACUCUCUUCUUGCAUGGGCGCUUCGGGAGAUUAUGGUUUACUUUUCUCUGCCUUUGAAUAGGGAAGAGGCAGUUUGUUUUUCCUUUGUUUUGAUUGUUUU
rnacentral:lncRNA from 1 species